rnacentral:piRNA from 1 species
UGGGUAAGUUAGCAGCAUAUC